GAUGAACGCUGGCGGCGUGCCUAAUACAUGCAAGUCGAGCGAACAGAUGAGGAGCUUGCUCCUCUGACGUUAGCGGCGGACGGGUGAGUAACACGUGGAUAACCUACCUAUAAGACUGGGAUAACUUCGGGAAACCGGAGCUAAUACCGGAUAAUAUAUUGAACCGCAUGGAUCAAUAGUGAAAGACGGUUUUGCUGUCACUUAUAGAUGGAUCCGCGCCGCAUUAGCUAGUUGGUAAGGUAACGGCUUACCAAGGCGACGAUGCGUAGCCGACCUGAGAGGGUGAUCGGCCACACUGGAACUGAGACACGGUCCAGACUCCUACGGGAGGCAGCAGUAGGGAAUCUUCCGCAAAGGGCGAAAGCCUGACGGAGCAACGCCGCGUGAGUGAUGAAGGUCUUCGGAUCGUAAAACUCUGUUAUUAGGGAAGAACAAAUGUGUAAGUAACUAUGCACGUCUUGACGGUACCUAAUCAGAAAGCCACGGCUAACUACGUG
rnacentral:rRNA from 1 species